rnacentral:tRNA from 2 species
GGGCCCGUAGAUCAGGGGAAGAUCGUUUCGUUCGCAACGAAAAGGCCGCGGGUUCAAAUCCCGCCGGGUCCA